rnacentral:rRNA from 1 species
UACGUAGGGGGCUAGCGUUGUCCGGAAUUAUUGGGCGUAAAGAGCUCGUAGGCGGUUUGUCGCGUCUGCUGUGAAAACCUGAGGCUCAACCUCGGGCUUGCAGUGGGUACGGGCAGACUAGAGUGCGGUAGGGGUGACUGGAAUUCCUGGUGUAGCGGUGGAAUGCGCAGAUAUCAGGAGGAACACCGAUGGCGAAGGCAGGUCACUGGGCCGCAACUGACGCUGAGGAGCGAAAGCAUGGGGAGCGAACAGG